rnacentral:rRNA from 1 species
CAGCAGUAGCCGCGGGAAUACAGAGGGUGCGAGCGUUAAUCGGAUUUACUGGGCGUAAAGCGUGCGUAGGCGGCUUCUUAAGUCGGAUGUGAAAUCCCUGAGCUUAACUUAGGAAUUGCAUUCGAUACUGGGAAGCUAGAGUAUGGGAGAGGAUGGUAGAAUUCCAGGUGUAGCGGUGAAAUGCGUAGAGAUCUGGAGGAAUACCGAUGGCGAAGGCAGCCAUCUGGCCUAAUACUGACGCUGAGGUACGAAAGCAUGGGGAGCAAACAGGAUUAGAUACCCCGGUAGUCCAUGUCUCUUAUAA